UGGGGAAUUUUGGACAAUGGGCGCAAGCCUGAUCCAGCAAUGCCGCGUGAGUGAAGAAGGCCUUCGGGUUGUAAAGCUCUUUCAGUYGAGAAGAAAAGRUUGUGACUAAUAAUYGYAAUUCAUGACGGUAUCAACAGAAGAAGCACCGGCUAACUACGUG
rnacentral:rRNA from 1 species